rnacentral:rRNA from 1 species
GACGAACGCUGGCGGCGUGCCUAAUACAUGCAAGUUGAGCGAUGAAGCUUGGUGCUUGCACCCAUUUGAAGAGCAGCGAACGGGUGAGUAACGCGUGGGGAAUCUGCCUUUGAGCGGGGGACAACAUUUGGAAACGAAUGCUAAUACCGCAUAACAACUUUAAACAUAAGUUUUAAGUUUGAAAGAUGCAAUUGCAUCACUCAAAGAUGAUCCCGCGUUGUAUUAGCUAGUUGGUGAGGUAAAGGCUCACCAAGGCGAUGAUACAUAGCCGACCUGAGAGGGUGAUCGGCCACAUUGGGACGGAGACACGGCCCAAACUCCUACGGGAGGCAGCAGGAGGGAAUCUUCGGCCAUGGACGAAAGUCUGACCGAGCAACGCCGCGUGAGUGAAGAAGGGUUUCGGAUCGGAAAAGUCUGUUGGUAGAGAAGAAAGUUGGUGAGAGUGGAAAGCUCAUCAAGUGACGGUAACUACCCAGAAAGGGACGGCUAACUACGUG